UUAUAAUGUUCUUCGUCCGCUGAAUCUUUCCCCACUUAACUAUAACAUCAUCAAGAUGUGUAUCACCUGUCAUUGGUCUGAAGUCCAAAGGUAGAAGAACUUAAAGUUUAAAAAUGGCCAUGGCCAUGGAGUGAACAUGCCAUGAAAAAACAAACGUUUGGAUGAGAACCCAGAAGGCCAGAGUUAACUGAAAUGCUGGCAGUUUGACAAGAAUAAUUUGGAUUGCUAAAUGGUGCACAAAGUUUUACAGCUUUGUGGCUAGACCAUGGCACCAGCUGUUCUCAAGGAUAAGUUGGCUGGACUUGAAGAAAGAAGAAAGACUGAAUCUGCAUGGUCUAUCCCCAAGAAGCUGAAGGGGAGCACAAGAGGGCCCUUGCUCUCAGUCCUGACCUCCUCAUCUAGGCUGAAGUCUUGGAGGGGAGAAGUGAGUGACAGGACUGGGUUCAAUUCCCAGCACCCACAUAAUGGUCACUGUAAGAACCAUCCGUAAGAAUCACAACCAUCCGUAACCCCAAUUCUAGGGGAUCCAACAGGCACACAUGGUGGACAUAUAUGCAUGUGAACAAAAUAUUCAUACA